GUUGAGGAGUAAUCUGAGACCUAGAGCGGCGGACGGGUGCGUAACGCGUAUGCAACCUGCCCCUUACCGGGGGAUAGCCCGGGGAAACCCGGAUUAAUACCCCAUAGGAUAACACUGUGGCAUCACGGAGUUAUUAAAGAUUUAUCGGUAAGGGAUGGGCAUGCGUAGGAUUAGUUAGUUGGCGGGGUAACGGCCCACCAAGACUUUGAUCCUUAGGGGUUCUGAGAGGAAGGUCCCCCACACUGGCACUGAGAUACGGGCCAGACUCCUACGGGAGGUAGCAGUAGGGAAUAUUGGGCAAUGGGCGGGAGCCUGACCCAGCCAUGCCGCGUGCAGGAAGAAGGCGUUAUGCGUUGUAAACUGCUUUUAUACGGGAAGAAAAGGCCCAUGCGUGGGACAUUGCCGGUACCGUAUGAAUAAGCACCGGCUAACUCCGUGCCGGCAGCCGCGGUAAUACGGAGGGUGCAAGCGUUGUCCGGAUUUAUUGGGUUUAAAGGGUGCGUAGGCGGCCGAUUAAGUCAGCGGUGAAAGUCUGUGGCUCAACCAUAGAAGCGCCGUUGAUACUGGUUGGCUUGAGUGCCGUAUGGGUACAUGGAAUUGAUGGUGUAGC
rnacentral:rRNA from 1 species